rnacentral:misc_RNA from 1 species
CUGAGUCGUCUCUUCUCGAGACCCUCUCACACUUGUUGUCUUACCAAGUUGCUUCGGCAAAGCGCGACCUCGUCGCCGUCGACUCCCCUGGAGUGGGCGUGUCUUUGCUGAAGGCCCCAACUCUUCAAUUUGCAGUCAUUCUUACAAAACAAGUAACA